UCUCCCUCUCUCUCCUCCUCCUCAGGAACGGCGUGUUCAAUUUAUCGUAGCCUAAUUGAUCAUGUUAACGUUGUGAAGUUUCUAAAAGAAAAAAAAACUAACACGGGACUAGACAACAGCUGGCACUUGAGAUUUCCGUCGAAUGUUGCCACUUCGUUGGUCAAGUUAUGAUAAACCCGGGGCUUCUGAAAGGAUGUCUUUGGUAUGAGUUUGAAUUUUGAAUUCCUCUCCUAACAGUAAACUUUCACGUAUGAUAAAGCUACUCUCUUUAGCAACAGGACGUUGCCUCCGUCUGUGGAUGUGUUCACCACUCUAGUGAUGGCCACGGACUAUGCAUAGCCGUUUUUGGAGAGACUAAUGGAGGACUUUGAUACACUUAGUAGUCACGAGGAACCGUACACCGGGUUAGGACUUCGCUUCCCUUCUUGGAACAUCCUUCGUCGCUUAUAAUCCUUGAGUGGGAUUCCGCAUUCCGGGACAACCGUCGUCUAACAUUAUUCCUAUGAUGAAGGGUUUGGUAUCGUCACGUAUUUGUAUACAAAGCUGUUCAGAAUACGAACUCUGCGUAUUUUGAGUUGAUUUGUAACAUUUUUCGUUGCAAUAAAUUAUAAUUUUUUGC